rnacentral:rRNA from 1 species
GGGUUGUGAGGUUAAGCGACUAAGCGUACACGGUGGAUGCCCUGGCAGUCAGAGGCGAUGAAGGACGUGCUAAUCUGCGAUAAGCGUCGGUAAGGUGAUAUGAACCGUUAUAACCGGCGAUUUCCGAAUGGGGAAACCCAGUGUGAUUCGUCACACUAUCGUUAACUGAAUACAUAGGUUAACGAAGCGAACCGGGGGAACUGAAACAUCUAAGUACCCCGAGGAAAAGAAAUCAACCGAGAUUCCCCCAGUAGCGGCGAGCGAACGGGGAGCAGCCCAGAGUCUGAAUCAGCUUGUGUGUUAGUGGAACGGUCUGGAAAGUCCGACGGUACAGGGUGAUAGUCCCGUACACCAAAAUGCACAGGUUGUGAACUCGAAGAGUAGGGCGGGACACGUGGUAUCCUGUCUGAAUAUGGGGGGACCAUCCUCCAAGGCUAAAUACUCCUGACUGACCGAUAGUGAACCAGUACCGUGAGGGAAAGGCGAAAAGAACCCCGGCGAGGGGAGUGAAAAAGAACCUGAAACCGUGUACGUACAAGCAGUGGGAGCCUCUUUAUGGGGUGACUGCGUACCUUUUGUAUAAUGGGUCAGCGACUUAUAUUCUGUAGCAAGGUUAACCGUAUAGGGGAGCCGAAGGGAAACCGAGUCUUAACUGGGCGUUAAGUUGCAGGGUAUAGACCCGAAACCCGGUGAUCUAGCCAUGGGCAGGUUGAAGGUUGGGUAACACUAACUGGAGGACCGAACCGACUAAUGUUGAAAAAUUAGCGGAUGACUUGUGGCUGGGGGUGAAAGGCCAAUCAAACCGGGAGAUAGCUGGUUCUCCCCGAAAGCUAUUUAGGUAGCGCCUCGUGAACUCAUCUUCGGGGGUAGAGCACUGUUUCGGCUAGGGGGUCAUCCCGACUUACCAACCCGAUGCAAACUGCGAAUACCGAAGAAUGUUAUCACGGGAGACACACGGCGGGUGCUAACGUCCGUCGUGAAGAGGGAAACAACCCAGACCGCCAGCUAAGGUCCCAAAGUCAUGGUUAAGUGGGAAACGAUGUGGGAAGGCACAGACAGCCAGGAUGUUGGCUUAGAAGCAGCCAUCAUUUAAAGAAAGCGUAAUAGCUCACUGGUCGAGUCGGCCUGCGCGGAAGAUGUAACGGGGCUAAACCAUGCACCGAAGCUGCGGCAGCGACACUAUGUGUUGUUGGGUAGGGGAGCGUUCUGUAAGCCGUUGAAGGUGGCCUGUGAGGGUUGCUGGAGGUAUCAGAAGUGCGAAUGCUGACAUAAGUAACGAUAAUGCGGGUGAAAAACCCGCACGCCGGAAGACCAAGGGUUCCUGUCCAACGUUAAUCGGGGCAGGGUGAGUCGACCCCUAAGGCGAGGCCGAAAGGCGUAGUCGAUGGGAAACAGGUUAAUAUUCCUGUACUUGGUGUUACUGCGAAGGGGGGACGGAGAAGGCUAUGUUAGCCGGGCGACGGUUGUCCCGGUUUAAGCAUGUAGGCGGAGGUUCCAGGUAAAUCCGGUACCUUUUUAACGCUGAGGUGUGAUGACGAGGCACUACGGUGCUGAAGUAACAAAUGCCCUGCUUCCAGGAAAAGCCUCUAAGCAUCAGGUAACACGAAAUCGUACCCCAAACCGACACAGGUGGUCAGGUAGAGAAUACCAAGGCGCUUGAGAGAACUCGGGUGAAGGAACUAGGCAAAAUGGUGCCGUAACUUCGGGAGAAGGCACGCUGAUAUGUAGGUGAAGUGAUUUACUCAUGGAGCUGAAAUCAGUCGAAGAUACCAGCUGGCUGCAACUGUUUAUUAAAAACACAGCACUGUGCAAACACGAAAGUGGACGUAUACGGUGUGACGCCUGCCCGGUGCCGGAAGGUUAAUUGAUGGGGUUAUCCGUAAGGAGAAGCUCUUGAUCGAAGCCCCGGUAAACGGCGGCCGUAACUAUAACGGUCCUAAGGUAGCGAAAUUCCUUGUCGGGUAAGUUCCGACCUGCACGAAUGGCGUAAUGAUGGCCAGGCUGUCUCCACCCGAGACUCAGUGAAAUUGAACUCGCUGUGAAGAUGCAGUGUACCCGCGGCAAGACGGAAAGACCCCGUGAACCUUUACUAUAGCUUGACACUGAACACUGGUCCUUGAUGUGUAGGAUAGGUGGGAGGCUUUGAAGUGUGGACGCCAGUCUGCAUGGAGCCAUCCUUGAAAUACCACCCUUUAAUGGCUGGUGUUCUAACGUGGACCCGUUACCCGGGUUGCGGACAGUGUCUGGUGGGUAGUUUGACUGGGGCGGUCUCCUCCUAAAGAGUAACGGAGGAGCACGAAGGUUAGCUAAUCCUGGUCGGACAUCAGGAGGUUAGUGCAAAGGCAUAAGCUAGCUUGACUGCGAGAGUGACGGCUCGAGCAGGUGCGAAAGCAGGUCUUAGUGAUCCGGUGGUUCUGAAUGGAAGGGCCAUCGCUCAACGGAUAAAAGGUACUCCGGGGAUAACAGGCUGAUACCGCCCAAGAGUUCAUAUCGACGGCGGUGUUUGGCACCUCGAUGUCGGCUCAUCACAUCCUGGGGCUGAAGUAGGUCCCAAGGGUAUGGCUGUUCGCCAUUUAAAGUGGUACGCGAGCUGGGUUUAGAACGUCGUGAGACAGUUCGGUCCCUAUCUGCCGUGGGCGCUGGAGAAUUGAGGGGGGCUGCUCCUAGUACGAGAGGACCGGAGUGGACGCAUCACUGGUGUUCGGGUUGUCAUGCCAAUGGCAUUGCCCGGUAGCUAAAUGCGGAAGAGAUAAGUGCUGAAAGCAUCUAAGCACGAAACUUGCCCCGAGAUGAGUUCUCCCUGAGACUAUAAGUCUCCUGAAGGAACGUUAAAGACGAUGACGUUGAUAGGUCGGGUGUGUAAGCGUAGCGAUACGUUGAGCUAACCGAUACUAAUGAACCGUGAGGCUUAACCUUACAACGCCGAAG